GAGGAUCACUUUGGAGUUGCUAAGCUCUGCAUUGCCAUUGGCUGCACUCUUUGUGGGGCUGUUUUUGCAAAAGGCAUGCCCAGCACGUCUACAGUGCUGGCAGGCCAGGGCUGCCUUGAAACACCAUGAUAAUAAUACCAAAAAGCAGUUUGCAGAACUGUUCACUGUAGAGGCUUCCUCUGCAGAAGCAAGCAAGAUGGCUACCUCGUGGGCUUCGCUGUGAAGAAUGCAGAGGCUAAUUAAGACAGACUUUAAGGGGAAGAAAGGGUUAUAAAGGAAAACAAGAGGCCCAAGAGGGAAAAGAAGCCCAAAGUUUUAAAGUUUUAGCAUUCAAAGAGGAACAGCAUGUUGGACUAUGAGUAUGGCAGAUUUUCAUUUCAUUCGUUUUCCAGUGUGCAUCUUGAAAAUGUUAUUGGCACGGAGAACCACAUCUUGCAUUGCUUUCUAAUUCUGUCUGAUCACCUCGAGUUUCUGUUUCCUGUGCGUACACAGCUUUGCCACGUACAUUUUUCAUCAACCAACAAGUAUUUAUUUAAUAUUUACCAUACAGUCACCUGUGUCCUAGGCAUGAUGAAUGAAUGAAAUUGCUUGGCACAAAUUCUCAGUUGGCCUGAACAAAUAGAAUACUGAUUAUUUUCAAAGUAAACCCUCUUCUGUGUGUGUUUUUUUUUUAAUUUUUUUACCCCUGCAUAUUGACCCACCCACCCCACCUAUAUAAGUACAUAAUGAAAAGCCCUUCUUAGGUGUUUUGUCUUAAGGUCUUCAAGGGAGAAAUAGUUUUAGCCCUACUGUUAAUAAGUGGCUUUGAAAUUGGUGGGAGGCAAGGGUGAGGCCAGAGGAUAGAGGGAGAAACUAUACGGGCAGACUAAUAUAGACUAAGCUUGGUAGCUUAAGUUACCCACGUUUGCUAGGAAGUAGACUUGGGGUAUGGUAGUACUAUUUAAUUCUGUGUUUGUUUUGUCAGUGUGUGGG